CGUCCCAAAAUAAGUGUAGUUUUACACUAUUCACGUUCAACGUUUGACCGUUCGUCUUAUUUAAAUUUUUUUAUGAUUAGUAUUUUUAUUGCUAUUAGAUGAUAAAACAUGAAUAAUACUUUAUGUGUGACUAAAUAUUUUUAAAUUUUUCACAAAUUUUUUAAAUAAAACGGACGGUCAAACGUUGGACACGGAUAUCUAUGGCUGUACUUAUUUUGGGACGGAGGUAU
rnacentral:pre_miRNA from 1 species